rnacentral:lncRNA from 1 species
CAUGAAGCGAGCUGGAACACUGUGUACACAAGUAGCUAGACAAGGAUGAAGUCAGGGGUGAUGUUUAAAGCUCAUGAUGCAACUCUCGUUCAACAUUAUUAGUGAGACAGUACUGCCAUCUAGCGAGUACUACCUUGAACAUACAGAGUAGUGAACGGAGUCAAUAGAAUCAAGCCACAGGCCUACAAAGCAUCGACAAAAGCUUUAUUUAUUUGAAAAACAAGUGAACCGUUAUGUACAGUACAUGAAAAAAACGUGGGUUACACAAACAUGGGAGUAUUUUGUCCUGUCUCUUUACAGGUUCAUCAUUCCAGAUUGACUAUUUACAACAGGGAAAAAACACACAUGUAAUCAGUACAACAUAAGGUGAGACAAACAUCAUUACAUACAGCACAUCAUCAUUGUUCCUAAACCAGUAGCCUUUAUUCAUAAUCGCAAAAAAACACAAAAUCACAAAAUCCAAUUCAAUAUUAACUCUGGAUUGUUUUGCUGACUGAACAACAGUGCCCUCUUCUGGACAGAAGGGACAAUUGGUCAUUAGACUCCCAUCAUUUAUACUCACUGGUUGACUGGGGUCGUAUUUAUUAGAAGACAAAAACAAUUGGACAUGUUCAGAUAAUCCCUCCCUGUUUCAGCCUGUUUUCCUUUGUUUGGUGCUUAAUUAAUAUAACCUGGGAAGCACCGUCUGGCUGGCACUCACACACAACUCACAUCCUCAGGGUGAAGCAGAGUCUACUCUGCUUGUUUCCUAUGGGACUAAACCAUUAUUUGAUUAAUUCAUGAAUUAAAGUGAUUGCAUAGAUCUGAGUCAGCCUAAAUACAUAUUUGAUUAGAAACCAAUCAGCAGACACUGAUGAUAAAUAACUGAUAAUAACUACUCAUCAUGAUCAUCAGUCAUAGUGCUUUGUGUCGACAGUAAUGUGACCACUGUGACAGUAACGUGACAGUAACGUGACCACUGUGACAGUAACGUGACAGUAACGUGACCACUGUGACAGUAACGUGACAGUAACGUGACCACUGAGACAGUAACGUGACAACUGUGACAGUAACGUGACCACUGUGACAGUAACGUGACAGUAACGUGACCACUAUGACAGUAACGUGACCACUGAGACAGUAACGUGACCACUGCGACAGUAACGUGACCACUGUGACAGUAACGUGACCACUGUGACAGUAACGUAACCACUGUGACAGUAACGUGACCACUGCGACAGUAACGUGACCACUGUGACAGUAACGUAACCACUGUGACAGUAACAUAACCACUGCGACAGUAACGUGACCACUGCGACAGUAACGUGACCACUGUGACAGUAACGUGACCACUGCGACAGUAACGUGACCACUGUGACAGUAACGUGACCACUGUGACAGUAACGUGACCACUGUGACAGUAACGUGACCACUGUGACAGUAACGUGACCACUGCGACAGUAACGUGACAGUAACGUGACCACUGUGACAGUAACGUGACCACUGUGACAGUAACGUGACCACUGUGACAGUAACGUGACCACUGUGACAGUAACGUGACCACUGCGACAGUAACGUGACAGUAACGUGACCACUGUGACAGUAACGUGACCACUGUGACAGUAACGUGACAGUAACGUGACCACUGUGACAGUAACGUGACCACUGUGACAGUAACGUGACCACUGUGACAGUAAUGUGACCACUGUGACAGUAACGUGACCACUGCGACAGUAACGUAACCACUGCGACAGUAACGUGACCACUGCGACAGUAACGUGACCACUGCGACAGUAACGUGACCACUGCGACAGUAACGUGACCACUGCGACAGUAACGUGACCACUGUGACAGUAACGUGACCACUGUGACAGUAACGUGACCACUGUGACAGUAACGUAACCACUGUGACAGUAACGUAACCACUGUGACAGUAACGUGACCACUGAGACAGUAACGUG